CCAAGGGGAUGGGUUAAAAGCAGAAAACAAAUUUUGUUGUAAUGUAUGUUUCAAUGACAAUAAAGACGAUAUUACUACUUCUUACUAUUACUUCAAAAUCUGACAAUUUGAGUAAUCUUACUGGAGAGCAGGAGCGUAAAUUUGGAAUUGAGUAAUUCGCUCAUCUUUAACACAUGCCUGCCAUGAUGGUAAAACCAUUGGAGUUUCUUAAGGCAUUGAAUAAAUGUUUGUGCUUUAUUUUCAUGGCUUCACACUGACAUGGUAGCUAGGCUACAGAAGUUAAGCUGAGAUAAAGACGGGAACAGCUGGUGAUGCCUUUAGUUUAUUACUGCCACCCGCUGGACUGAUGGUGUAGUGCAGUUUUCUUCUCCAUACAUCAUUACGCAGAUUUAAAUUAAUUCCCCAUGGCCUGUCAGAGCAUUGGAAACAAAAAGCACACAAAUUGUCCAGGUUUUUAAAAAAAAACAACAAAAAAAAAAAAACGUUUAAGCGUUACCGUUUUCACCGCCGUCAUUGAUUUCUCUCAAUAUUCUCAGCCCGCACAUCGCUUUUCAAGCACAAUGAGAGGACGCUCUCAGUUCUGUACAAUUUCUUUGUGCUACUCUUUGUUGUUAUGCAAAACGGCAGCUUUUUGAUAUCGUACACAGCAAAUUCAAAAGUGUUAAAUAAUGUGGUGUUAGUAGACUUUGCUCAAAGGCAGUGUUAAUUUAGCUCUUAAUAGAGUUAUAUUAUACAAAUUUAACUCUGAGGUGUCAAAUUUUAGUAGUUAAAAUUGAGUGUUAAAAAAUAAUGUUGCAUAACAAAUCUGGGGGUGUUAAAAUGGAAAAAAACAACUCUUUGUUUAUCAACUCUGAACUCCUAUAGUGGAUUUGACACCCAAAGAGUACAUUCACAGACUCCGCCUCCAAUGCUACAGGAACCGAACGAAGCUGAGGAAAACUUUACUCUCCAUUUUGCUGUUAUAAAGACCCGUUUACCCAGCCUGAUUGAUCAGGAUUUCUCGAUGAUGUUUGGGGAUGAAGUUUCUGGAAGAUUUCUCACGAAGUGGCUUUCAUAUUUCAAGCAAAAAAGUGUUCACAGAAAGCCAAAGUCUUUCAUCAAGACCCUGGGUUGACGAGUUACAAGCUUCUGUUGACCCGGAACAUCCAUCUGUCUUUGGUAAAUUUGGCCAGUGUUUUCUCUUCACUUUUUCUCUUGCUGUACUGUAAACUGCAAGCAAAUAUAUCUUAAGUGAUUUAUGCAUAUUUGGUUUUUGAAUAAGCUUUAAAAAGUUGUAUCUGUUUAACUGAAUUUUGUCUCCAAUGUGCUUUUUUGUCUUUAAGGCUGGGAUAGUGACAUUGCAGCUCUUCUGCUGUUGCUGCAUCUGCUGCCCCCCACACCUAGAGGCCACAAAAAAACCCAGCAAAGAUUAGCUCUGCACAGGCAGCCAAUCAUCUCCUAAGGUUUGUCAAGGUAUGCACCCUUAACACUUAUUGGAACUAAUGAUUUUUGUUUUUUUCUUUAUUCAACACUAGUUUGUAAAAAUUAAAUGCCAUGAGAUAUAAACAUGUAGGAUGGCAUUAAUACAGUCACCUUUGGUGUGUUUUACAUUAAAUAUUGCUGUAUUUAUAAUUAUAAAACAGGAGAGACAAAAUCUGUAAGGUCUUUUAAAAGGAAUGUAGUCCUCACAUUAUGAGCUGAACCCAAAUAAGCGGAAGAGGAUGGAUGGAUGGAAUAUAGUCAUAGUCAUCAUAUGUCAAGCUAACUGUUUUAAAGAAUAUUUUACUUUUGACUGAUAUAUGCCAUUUAAAUUUCAGGAAGGAGUCAGCCUUACUACUUUCCUGAAGCAAGUGGACACCAGACAACCAUUCCUUCUCUGCAAGAACAUUCAGAGGUUUUUCAUUGUUGUGGAUCAGAGAGCUAUCCCCUGUGAUGCUCCAACAUCAGUGGCUGCUUUUGAUGGGCUAUUCAAAGCACACUUUGUCUUCAGCCUGUCAUAUGAUGAGGCUCUUUGCAGUUUUUAGUUUUUACACAAAACUAUUGUUUCAAAAGAUUUGAAUAUGGUCCUUUAAAAUCAAGAGCAGCCAAUGGCCUGGAAGGUGGAGAUCUACUUUCUAACACCUUAAAUCUGGAUUCAUGCUGAAAUAUUUUAACUACAAACUGGGUACGAAAUUAUGGCACUGAAUACCAGGUUUGGACUGUAUUUAUGUACUGCAAUGUUCAAUGAUCUACCUGUGUUUAAUACAACUUGCCAUAUUAUAAUACAUGAACAGCAGGCAUUCAUAAUAAGCUGUACUGCCAACACUUUGUACUUUGAUGAACAUACCGUAUUGAAGAAAAAAAAUAAUGAGCAUGUUAUUAUUUGCAUCGGCAAGCUCACCUAUGUCAGACCUUUUGAUAGGCAAUAUUCUAAUAAAAGUGAGAACAUGUAUAUUGUUCCACAUUGCUACAUGUUUUGAAAAAUAUUUUCUAAUUGUGGUGCACUUUUGAAAUAAAUAUUUGCUGAGAAAAACUAA